GUGAGGAAUAUUGGUCAAUGGCCGGAAGGCUGAACCAGCCAAGUCGCGUGAGGGAAUAAGGCCCUACGGGUCGUAAACCUCUUUUGCCAGGGAGCAAUGCCGUCCACGUGUGGACGGAAGGAGAGUACCUGGAGAAAAAGCAUCGGCUAACUCCGUGCCAGCAGCCGCGGUAAUACGGAGGAUGCGAGCGUUAUCCGGAUUUAUUGGGUUUAAAGGGUGCGUAGGCGGCCUGCCAAGUCAGCGGUAAAAUUGCGGGGCUCAACCCCGUACAGCCGUUGAAACUGCCGGGCUCGAGUGGGCGAGAAGUAUGCGGAAUGCGUGGUGUAGCGGUGAAAUGCAUAGAUAUCACGCAGAACCCCGAUUGCGAAGGCAGCAUACCGGCGCCCGACUGACGCUGAGGCACGAAAGUGCGGGGAUCAAACAGG
rnacentral:rRNA from 1 species